AUUGAACGCUGGCGGCAUGCUUUACACAUGCAAGUCGAACGGUAACAGGCCGCAAGGUGCUGACGAGUGGCGAACGGGUGAGUAAUGCAUCGGAACGUGCCCAGUCGUGGGGGAUAACGCAGCGAAAGCUGUGCUAAUACCGCAUACGAUCUAUGGAUGAAAGCGGGGGACCGUAAGGCCUCGCGCGAUUGGAGCGGCCGAUGUCAGAUUAGGUAGUUGGUGGGGUAAAGGCUCACCAAGCCAACGAUCUGUAGCUGGUCUGAGAGGACGACCAGCCACACUGGGACUGAGACACGGCCCAGACUCCUACGGGAGGCAGCAGUGGGGAAUUUUGGACAAGGGGCGCAAGCCUGAUCCAGCAAUGCCGCGUGCAGGAAGAAGGCCUUCGGGUUGUAAACUGCUUUUGUACGGAACGAAAAGGUUUGGGUUAAUACCCUGGGCCGAUGACGGUACCGUAAGAAUAAGCACCGGCUAACUACGUGCCAGCCGCCGCAGUAA
rnacentral:rRNA from 1 species